rnacentral:lncRNA from 1 species
AUUGUCCGUGAAAUCAGGUGGUCCAGGGCCAGGUUGGUCCAUAGAGGCUCUGACUCUGCAACACCUCACCCCAGGGUGCCGCCAGCAUAAAGACAGAAGCCUGCAGGGCUCAACAAGGAGAAGGGGCAAAGUGAAGAGAAUUCGGGAAGCUCGUGACAGCAAAAUCACAGGUCAUGGAGUAAAGGGAAGACGAAAUUAGAAAGGAGGUUU